CCUGCUGAACAUGGUAGGGUAUAUAAUUCCUACUCGACUGCUUAGUUUAGAGGGUGACAAGACCCAGACUUCUGUUGUCUUUGAAUUUAUGGAAGGACCCCCCCCAGCCAACUUUUCACUCCAUAUUUUAGCCCCAUGUGGGAGGGAACUGGUGUUUGGUUGAGAAAGGUAUGCUGUGUGAGCUCAUGUGACUUGGGAAAGAGCCCCACGCCAAAUGUCUGGGAGGCUAGAGGAAAAGAGGACCCCCAGAAAAGGGGUAGCCAUUCUAAGGACCCCGGUUCCAAGAGAAGAACACAGAGCACAGUCUGAGCUUUAGGCCAAUAGGAGUCCAGCAAAGUGGACUUGCCCAGGCUGUCUCCGCCUUCCCUCUUAAUGCCAAAUUUAGCUUGCUGUACCAGAAUUAGAGUCCCAACCAGCUCAUUAAAGGGCCCAUGACCCUCUUGGCUUGUCCCAUCAUGCCCAUCCCUGCCCUAAAAGCUUCCAGUACCCAUCCCCCAGAACCCAGCUUCCAGCCCUGGGUCCCUCAGUGCUUAUCAUUAGCCCCCCAAAACCCUCUAGGUCUUACUUCACCCACUCCAAACCCUUCUUUUGAGAACCCCCCUACUCUUCUACCUCAUAACCUCUAGAUUCCAACUCUAAUUCUGUCCCUCCUCCAAAGAAGAUCCCCAACUUGCCUGCAAGGAGAGGAAUCCAAGUUGCGGCUGCUACCAUAGUUGCCCCAGCCUAGCCGGACCUUCCUGCUUCGGUCUCCUUAGUGACGGGAUUACUACAGACGGUGAAUCGCAACACCCCACACGUACUUCACAGGUCACUUGCUAAACAGAGAGUUUUCACUGCUGCUACUACACAGCCAGCCAGCAAGGCCUCUGGAAGCUGCCUGUCACUGCCCAGGAGAAUGCUGCUACUCCCAGCUUGCAAGAGAGGAAGAGGAAGGGACAGACAGACAAGCGGGCAGGCACACAGACAGACAGACAGACUGACUGACUGACUGGCUGGCUGACAGAGGGAUGGCCCAGAGGCUAAGAGCAGAGGAUCUGGGGUUGGGGAUUUAGCUCAGUGGUAGAGCGCUUGCUUGGGUUCGGUUCCCAGCUCCGGAAAAAAAAAAAAAAAAAAAAGCAGAGGAUCUAGGUUUGGUUGCCAGCACCCUUAUGGUGGCAACCAAUCAUCUGCAGCUCCAGUCCCAAGGGAUCUGAUGUUCUCUCCUGGCCUCUGAGGGCACCCACAGAUAAAAAUCAAGAUAAAAGAUGUACAUGUACAAUUGUUAAUGUUACAUUAAAAAUGUUACAUUUUGUUGCUGCUGCUGUUGUUGUUUUGAGACAAGAUCUCUUUGCAUAGCCCUGGAUGUCCCAGAACUCGCUACCUAGAGCAGGCUAGCCUCAAACUUAACUCUCUACUUCCUGAGUGCUGGGACUAAAGGCAUGAUGGUUCACUAUGCCCAGCUCACAAGAUACUUAUGAAUGGAGCACUAUACUAUAUUCUAAAAGGACUAAGUGGAGAGACGUAGACACAGGAUCAGUUAAGCUUGAGAAAUCUCCCUGUCAUUCUCACUGACAAUUCUCUCCACGUUUUUAUCAAUGGAUUCCAUACGUACCCAGUAAAGAUCUCAACGGAAGCUUCUGUGUGAGACUGAUGCUAACAGAACAGCACAGGGGCCAAGACAGCGGUAGACUGUUCUGAAGAAGAAAAUGGGCCUGCCCUGAAGAGAUACCAAGACUUUCUUUGAAAGUGAUAGUAAUUAAAACAAUGUGGUCUCGGUGCCGGGCCGGACAAAGAGAUCAAUAGAACAGAGUGGCCAGAAAUGGAGCCAAGUGUAUGUGGGGAUUUGAUUUAUGAUGGGGGAGAGGGGGUGGCACAGCACUUAGCAAGGGAGAACAGUCUAUUCAAUAAAAAGUGUUGGGACAAUCGACUUUUCACAUGCAAACCUCUAUGCACCAUCCAUAAAUAUUAAUUCCAGAUGGAGGAGAGAUCUGGAAGUGAAAAACAGAACCUUAACAUAAUUAGGAGGAAAUGCAGUCAUGCUGAGAGUAGCAAA